rnacentral:misc_RNA from 1 species
GAUGAAGAACGCAGUGAAACGCGAAAGGUAAUGCGAAUUGCAGAAUUCAGUGAAUCAUCGAAUCUUUGAACGCACAUUGCGCCCGUCAGUAUUCUGGCGGGCAUGCCUGUUCGAGCGUCAUUACGCCCCUCAAGUCCCCUGUGGACUUGGUGUUGGGGAUCGGCGAGGCUGGUUUUCCAGCACAGCCGUCCCUUAAAUUAAUUGGCGGUCUCGCCGUGGCCCUCCUCUGCGCAGUAGUAAAACACUCGCAACAGGAGCCCGGCGCGGUCCACUGCCGUAAAACCCCCCAACUUUUUAUAGUUGACCUCGAAUCAGGUAGGACUACCCGCUGAACUUAAGCAUAUCAAUAAGCGGAGGA